UACGGAGGGUGCGAGCGUUGUCCGGAAUUACUGGGCGUAAAGCGUGCGCAGACGGUUGCGUAAGUCAGAUGUGAAAGCCCCGGGCUCAACCUGGGAAUUGCAUUUGAGACUGCGUAGCUAGGGUGCGGAAGAGGGAAGCGGAAUUUCCGGUGUAGCGGUGAAAUGCGUAGAUAUCGGAAGGAACACCAGUGGCGAAAGCGGCUUCCUGGUCCAGCACCGACGUUCAGGCACGAAAGCGUGGGGAGCAAACAGG
rnacentral:rRNA from 1 species